CACACCCUCUCCAGCAUUUAUUAUUUGUAGAUUUGAUGAUGGCCAUUUUGGCUGGGGUAAGGUGGUACCUCAUAGUAGUUUUGAUUUGCAUUUCUCUAAUAAUUAAUGAUGUUGAGCAUAUUUUCAUGUAUUUUUGACCAUCUGUAUGUCUUCUUUGGAGAAAUGUGCAUGUAAAUCUUGUGCCCAUUUUUUGAUGGGAUUAUUUAUUUUUUUGAUAUUGACCUACAGGAGGUUUUUGUAUAUUUUGGAAAUUAAUUGCUUCAUUUGCAAAUACUUUUCUCCCAUUCUGUGGGCUGUCUUUUUGUUUGUGCUUUCCGUUGCUGUGCAAAAACUUUUAAAUUUAAUUGGGCCUCAUUUGUUUAUUUUUGUUUUUAUUUUCGUUACUCUAGAAGGUGGAUCUGAGAACAUAUUGCACAGUUUAUAUCAGAGAGUGUUUGGCCUAUGUUUUCCUUUAAGAGUUUUAUAGAAAUAUGGUCUUACAUCUAGGUCUUUAGUCCAUUUUGAGUUUAUUUUUGUGUAUGGUGUUAGAGAGUGUUCUCAUUUCAUUCUUUUACAUAUUGCUGUCCAGUUUUCCUAGUACCACUUAUUGAAGAGACUGUCUUUUCUCCAUUGUAUAUUCUUCCUUGCUUUGGAAUAGAUUAGUUUACCAUAGGUGAAUGGUUUUAUUUCUGGGUUUUGUAUCCUGUUCCAUUGAUCCAUAUUUCUGUUUUGUGCCAGUGCAGUUUUGAUGACUGUAGCUUUGUAGUAUUGUCUGAAGUCAGGGAGCUUGAUUCCUCCAGCUCCAUUUUUCUUUCUCAGAACUCCUUUAGCUAUUCAGGGUCUUUUGUGUUUCCAUACAAAUUUAAAUUUGUUUUCAAGUUCUGUGAAAAAUGCCUAAAAUAAUGGCAUUUUUUAAACACUAGAAAUGGAUUUCUUUUUCACUUAAAAGAAGUCUUGAACUUGACAAAACUGUCAGGGACCCAGGUUCCUUCCAUCUUGCAACUGUCAUAUUUGGCAUGUGGCUUUCUCCUCAUAGCUCAGUAUAGCUACUGGAAUUUCAGCCAUCCUGUCCAUAUUUUCACUGAUAGGAAAAAGGAAAUAAGAAGAGCAUGCUGUCUCACAUCUGGAAAACACCCCUAAAGUCAUAUACAACACUUUUGUAUAUCCCAUUAGCCAAACAUUAGUCACAAAUCCAUAACCAGCUACAAAAGGCCAGAAAAUAAAUAUUUAACCCAGGUAGCCAUUCUUGCAACUACAAAUGGUAAGUUAUGGUGAAAGUGAAAGAAAAAAAAGAUAUUUGGUCUAAACUAGGCACUUCUUCCAUAAAGAGCAAAAACCAUCUUCUGGGACUUUCUGUCCACACUACUGAAUCUCUUACUUGCCCCAGUUAGUAACUGCAAAAGGAGGGCAGAGCUUGGUGCCUGCAGCAUACUCUUUGAGUAAAGCUGCUGCAACUCAUUCUGCAUCCAACUAUUGUCUCAGUGCUGGCCAUUAAGAAGCUAGUCUUGACUUAAUGAGAGCGAAUAGGACAACAUGAGGACAUCAAUUACUAACUAAAUUUUCUAAAAGCUUAAUUUAUCUGAUGUCAUUUUCUUAUCACUGUAGCUGGAACAGAAAACUGGGGCACAAGCCUUUAGUAAACAUAAAACAUCCCUUUCUGCUAAUUUUUUCUUCCAUCUCUAUAUUCCUUUCUUUGAUUCGUAAACAGUCUUGGAGUUUCAGGGAUUGCCAAAUACAGGCUUCAGCAAACUAGUGUCUGCUGGCCAAAUGUAGCCCAUUGCUUGUGUUUAUAAAUCAAGUUUUAUUAGAACACAAGUUAAUUCAUUUACAUAUUGUUUAUGACUGCUUUCAUGCUAUAGUGGUAAAAUUGAGUAGUUGUGGCAGAGAGCAUUUGGCAGACAAAGUCUAAAAUAAUGAUCUAGGUGGUCCUUUACAGAAAACGUUCACUGACCCUACCUAGAAUCCUGGACUAGAACACUUAGGAGAUGACCCAGUGCACGUGUUCUCCCAUCUUUGACCCUUCAACAAAUGUAGUACUUACUUUUCUUUCCAAUGCCUUUUUGAAGAAACAGGAGUUCCCUUUGUGGCUCAGCAGGUUAAGAACCUGACUAGUAUCCAUGAGGAUGCAGGUUCCAUUCCUGACCCCACUCAGUGGGUUAAGGAUCUAGCGUCACUGCAAGCUGUGGUGUAGGUUGCAGAUGCAGCUUGGAUUUGGCAUUGCUGUGGCUGUGGUGUAGGCUUCAGCUGCAGCUCUGAUUUGACCCCUAGCCUAGGAACUUCAAUAUGCCAUGGGUGCAUCCCUAAAAAAACAAAAACAAAAAAAGUGAAGGAACACUCUUAUUCAGACCAUAUGCCCUGAUUGAGGAGGACAUAAUUGAUUAAAAUAAAUUUUAUGUAAAGUGAAAUAAAGUUUUCCAAGCCCCCUGACAUCCUAAAGGACCCAGAGGGGUUUGAAACCUCAGAUUAAGAAUUAGAAUAGGGGGAGUUCCCGUCGUGGCGCAGUGGUUAACGAAUCCGACUAGGAACCAUGAGGUUGCGGGUUCGGUCCCUGCCCUUGCUCAGUGGGUUAACAAUCCGGCGUUGCCGUGAGCUGUGGUGUAGGUUGCAGAUGCAGCUUGGAUCCCGAGUUGCUGUGGCUCUGCCGUAGGCCGGUGGCUACAGCUCCGAUUCGCCCCCUAGCCUGGGAACCUCCAUAUGCCGCAGAAGCAGCCCAAAGAAAUAGCAAAAA
rnacentral:lncRNA from 1 species